UACCCGCAAACUUCGCUACGGUCUCCAGGAUGAGCCACAUACACCUAAGGAAACUUCCUUUACUCAGAGAUGCAUUGUUCUUGGAAUAGUCAUGAGUUUUUGCAAAGCGCAGGUCCCCAAUGAUGACAUUGAAUGAACUAUAAAAGAUCACUAAAGACUAAGGAAGAAAUCAGUGUAUAAACUGGACUUUGAGCCUAACUGGACUUCAAGUGGAGUCAAAAGUCACAAAUCUGAAAGGUGGUACUGAAUGCUUCUUAUGCCAAAAAUUUUUGCCGAGAAGGGAUUGACUUGAAGUGGGGAAUGCCCAAGUUAACUGAUUCUUCAGAUCAAAGUAUUGAGAACCCUAGA
rnacentral:lncRNA from 1 species